AGGGAAUCUUCCGCAAUGGACGAAAGUCUGACGGAGCAACGCCGCGUGAGCGAAGAAGGUCUUCGGAUCGUAAAGCUCUGUUGUUAGGGAAGAACAAGUACCGUUCGAUAAGGGCGGUACCUUGACGGUACCUGUCGAGAAAGCCACGGCUAACUACGUGCCAGCAGCCGCGGUAAUACGUAGGUGGCAAGCGUUGUCCGGAAUCAUUGGGCGUAAAGCGCGCGCAGGCGGUCCUUUAAGUCUGAUGUGAAAUCUUGCGGCUUAACCGCAAGCGGUCAUUGGAAACUGGAGGACUUGAGUGCAGAAGAGGAAAGCGGAAUUCCAUGUGUAGCGGUGAAAUGCGUAGAGAUAUGGAGGAACACCAGUGGCGAAGGCGGCUUUCUGGUCUGCAAUUGACGCUGAGGCGCGAAAGCGUGGGGAGCAAAC
rnacentral:rRNA from 1 species